UCUUGAGAUGCACCACAGCAUCUCAAAACCUCCUCAAAGUACAGGAUCCAACUUUGUGAACAUGGGGCUAAUGUAGAGAUGGAAACGGCCUCAAGCAGUGUCAGGGGAGGUUUAGUUUGGAUGCUAGGGAAAAUUUCUUCACUGGGAGGAUUGUGAAGCAUUGGAACAAUCUGCCCAGCUGCCAAGGGAUGCACUGCUGGCUCUGCCCUGAGUUCUGCGUCAUCCUGGAGUUACCGAUGUGGUGCAGGGAGGAGGGUUGGCUGCUGAGAACGCUAUACCUUGCCAAAAUGACCGGGGAUGAGCAACAAGCCAGCUCGAUGGUGCCCCCAGUCUUCAAGCAACCAGAACUACUUCUGAACAUGGUGCAGCACGAAUGUUUUCUCCUAACACUGUUCACACUGCUUACCAACCUAUGAAGACCUUUUGCUGCAAGCUCACAAAGGCUUCCUGACAUCUGGAUCUACUAUUAC
rnacentral:lncRNA from 1 species